UUCCCUCUGCUGCAGGGUCCUGGACGGGAGACGCAACGCCAGACACCUUCUCUAUCUGCUCUAAUUAGCGUCGGUGCCCUCCGCCCAGCUCUGCGCAGCCGCCGUGGCGGCCACAGCAUCCGCCAGAACGCGGGCCGCACGAGGAAGCGAGGAAGGGGGGAGAGAUCCUCCGGUCCCCGGCCAGACCCCCAGCCAGAACGGCAAGCUCGGCCCUGCCCAGAGCCCACCUGCUUCCUUCUGGCGGCCUUGCGGGGUAGGCAGGAGCAGCAAGAGCAGCCCCAACCAGAGAGAAUGAAACUCAGAAAGAGAAAGCCAAAGAGGGAGCAGCCUGAAGUUGAACAUCAACAGAAUCCAGAAGAGAAGGGAUCGACCAGGAGACACCACCUGUGCCUUGCCAUGUGAAAAGCUAAGAAUGAAGAAUUGCCAGCAGCCAGCCCCAGAAUGCCAUGGUCUUAGGGAAGAAAGCAUUACCUUGAUGAUACCUUGAUAUGCACCUCUUAUCUUUGCCUCCAAAUCGUGAGCUAAUAAGUUCCCAUUGUUUAAUCAUGAGCUGAUAAAUUCCCAUUAUUUAAGGUAUUUUCUUGAGCAGCCUAGGAAACUAAAGCAUUAUCUUUUACCCUUUUCUUUAAAAAUAAUAAACAAUUUAAUCUUCUUGGGGUUGGUGAUAAAGUGGCUUUAUUAACUUAAAUCGAAAUUAUUCAGGACAGAGUAAAAAUUUUCCUGUUACAAAUAAUAGUAAGACAGGUGAGAUGAGUGAAUUUCCCAAUCCAGUUGAUGGCACCACCAUUCUCCCAAUUGCUCAAACUGGUUGGUAUCUUUCCUACAUCUCUCAUCAGCAGAAGAAUAUGUGAAUUUGCCCACAUCUCCAUCCCCAUUGCUACCACCUUACAUGUCCCCUUAAAUGUCCCAGCUUCCAUGGGUUCAAAUCUUAGCUCCACCAUUUACCAGUUGGGUGACUGGACAAGUACUUAACCUCUCUGUCUUGGUUUCCCCAUCUGAAAAAUGAGGUUAUUAUAAAGAUUAAAUAACUUAGUUUUUGUAAAGCACUUAGAACAGUGCCUGGCACAUAGUAACCAUUAUACAGGUCUUCAUCAAAUAAAAAUAAUAAUAGUUUCUCCUACCCCAAAUACAUCAGUACUCCAGAAAGCAGCAAGAAUAAUACUAAAUCACAAAUUAAAUCAUGACACUUUGCUUACAAUUCCUCAUUGGUUUCCCACUACACUUAAAAUGCAAACUGUAUGGUUUAAGACUCUGUAGUCAAGCUUCUGUCUGUAUCUUCAAAUUCAUUUCAUGCCACGUUCCCCAUUGCUCACCAUGGUUCAGCUAUACUGGUUUGUUUUAAGUUCCUCAAAGAUGCCAAGCUCCAACUCACCUUACGAUUUCUGCACAAAUUUUAUCUUCUAUCUGGACUGCUUUUCUCUCCCAUCUUUCUUCACUGGUCACUUCCCAACCUUUAGGUUUCUGCUGAAAAUAUCACCACCUCAGACAGACUUCCCCUAAAAACGGCACCUUCUUUAUUUUCUACCUUAGCCCCUUAUUUGUCUCUUUCACAAUGCUUAUCAUAAUUUGCAGUUAUUUUAUACAUUAACUAUUUCCCUCAUUAGAAUUUAAGCUCCAGGAGGGCAGGGAUGUAUUUGUCCUGUUCACUGGCACAGUGCCUGGCACACAGUAGGCACUAAAUAAUUGCUGAAUGAGGAAAGAUGCCUGGAAGUUAACUGAAAAGGGGCAGAGGAGUUUCGAUGUGGCAAGCUAGGAAGCAGUUAAGAGAGCAAAAAUGAAAAAUAAAUGUACAAAAUCCCUUACCCUAAGAGGUAAAUACAAUAAAAAUAUGUAUAGCUCUCUAUCAGAUUUUAUAUAUUCAUGAACAAAAGCUCUGUGGCAAUUAGGACAUGAAGAAUAUUACUAACUGUAGCAGUUUUGAUAUGGGUCAUUCUGGUUCUGCCACUUAUUAGCUGGGUUAUUUUCAGUAAGUUAUCGUGUCAACUUCAGUUUUCUAUGUAAGAUAAGAGCAAUGAUAAUAUCUAUCAAAGCAUUUAAGAUUUAAACAGAGAAUGUAAGGCUCCUAGCCCAGGCAAUGACAGUUAACUAGUCAUAGAAUUGAUACAAAGGGCUUUCUCUUAAGGCACUUAAAAUCUCUGGAGUGACAGAUCUCACACUUAUGUUCUUUUUGACCCCCUCUCCCUUACUCUUCUUACACCAAACUGUUGGCAGUUCCUUACUCCUUUUGAUGUUGCCCACCUCCUUAUCUUUUUUAUCUGCUGCUUCCUCUACCAGAAAGCCAUCCUCCUGUAACCAUGAAGUUAGGAUUUAAGAGCUAAAUAUGAUUACUGAAUCAUUAUACCUAUCCUUUUACUUUCUAGUAUAUUAGAGUAGACAGAGGGAACUACCUGAAAUCUGAGCUGUAAUACAGCUGCCUUGAUCUCUGAUAAUGAUUGUAUAGCCUUUAUCUUGUGCCUUUGUGAUUGUAAAACCCUUGGGACUGACCUUCACUUGUACCUAUUUAUCCAGUUUUUUGACUUUAAAGUCUGAUUAUCAUUAAAGAAGCCUCUAAUAUUUAUUAAUGAAAGAACUUGAUUCCACCCAGAACUAACCCACCCCAAGUCCAAAGUUAUCUUGAUAACCAAAGCUGGGAUCUAACCAAAAUGGGCCCACCUGACAUGCACAGUAG